UACGAAGGGAGCUAGCGUUGUUCGGAAUCACUGGGCGUAAAGCGCACGUAGGCGGAUUUGUCGGUCAGGGGUGAAAUCCCGGGGCUCAACCUCGGAACUGCCUUUGAUACAGCAAGUCUUGAGUUCGAGAGAGGUGGGUGGAAUUCCUAGUGUAGAGGUGAAAUUCGUAGAUAUUAGGAAGAACACCGGUGGCGAAGGCGGCCCACUGGCUCGAUACUGACGCUGAGGUGCGAAAGCGUGGGGAGCAAACAGG
rnacentral:rRNA from 1 species